UGUAAGCGUAUACCAAAGUUGUUGCAGUUAAAACGCUCGUAGUCGGAAUUUGGCAGUUCCGGAUGUGUGCACGUCGUGUGCGCACUUCGCGGGGAUUGCUUUUGUGGUCUUGCGUAGGAUGAGGCACUUUUAUUAGUGAACGUCCUCACGCAACCACUUUUUACUGUGAGAAAAUCAGAGUGCUCAAAGCAGGCAUUUGCCGUGAAUGUAUUAGCAUGGAAUAAUAGAAUAGGACUCGGUUCUAUUUUGUUGGUUUGUUGGGACUGAGUAAUGAUUAAGAGGGACAGUUGGGGGCAUUUGUAUUUCGGUGCUAGAGGUGAAAUUCUUAGAUUACCGAAAGACAAACUGCUGCGAAAGCGUCUGCCAAGGAUGUUUUCAUUGA
rnacentral:rRNA from 1 species